GGCGUAAGGGCUCGCAGGCGGUUUCUUAAGUCUGAUGUGAAAGCCUCCGGCUCAACCGGGGAGGGUCAUUGGAAACUGGGGAACUUGAGUGCAGAAGAGGAGAGUGGAAUUCCACGUGUAGCGGUGAAAUGCGUAGAGAUGUGGAGGAACACCAGUGGCGAAGGCGACUCUCUGGUCUGUAACUGACGCUGAGGAGCGAAAGCGUGGGGAGCGAACAGGAUUAGAUACCCUGGUAGUCCACGCCGUAAACGAUGAGUGCUAAGUGUUAGGGGGUUUCCGCCCCUUAGUGCUGCAGCUAACGCAUUAAGCACUCCGCCUGGGGAGUACGGUCGCUCGACUGAAACU
rnacentral:rRNA from 1 species